ensembl:lncRNA
UUUAAAUAAGAAUGUAGGAUUAUGACAUUAAGUCAGAUGUGAAAAAUGUCUGGUCACCAUCAAAUGAAAUAAUCACCUAUAUUAAAUGUAUACUGACCAGAAGGAUUGCAUAGCUCACAAUGGGAAUUUUCAAAAAAACAUGGCUGCUUGAAGCGAGGGAUAUUUUACAGCUAUCUACACAACUUUUUAUAUGUUUAUAAUGACUCGGUUUGAUCUGAAAUGUGCUACACGAACGAUGCAUAGUAUUGUAGGUCUUAACUGAAGCUUUCAAACGGUAGUUUUAUAUACGCGCUACAAUUAGCGCGUAUACCACCACUCCAUUGGCUUAUAUGGUAGCUUGCCAGCUAGAUGCUACACACACCCUCAACUCUUCAAUGAUGGUGGCAGCAUCUCAGAAGUCCCACAAAUGGACGCCAGAGCAAACCCGACAUCUGAUAGAAUUUCGAACAGAAAAUGAUCACAAAUUUGUGAGAUCGAAAUUCUUGGCUAAGCACCUAUGGGAGACACUGGUGAAAGAGAUGGGGCUGGUGGGGAUGAUUUCAGGACAGCAGGCUGCCAAGAAGUGGGAGAACCUUAAGCAGAGAUAUAGGGAGCUACGAACACCCAAAACCGGGUCGGGGACUGACAGGGGGGAGGUGACUGCUGCCAACGGGCAGUUCUUUGAGGAUAUGCAUGAGGUGAUGGGUGACAGGCCUGCAAUGGACCCUCCUGUGGUGGUGGCCUCCUUUUCAGAGGAUCCCACGCAACUCCUCAUGGAAAUGGUUGAGCCUCCAUUGGCACCCAGCACCUCUGCAGCCAGCCUCUCUGCAGCCAGCACCUCUGCAGCCAGCACCUCUGCACCCAGCCCCCCUGCAGCCAUCACCUCUGCAGCCAGCCCCCCUGCAGCGACAGGCUCCCCAUCUCCCUCACCCAGAAAAAAAACAACAACAAUCCAGUACUGGAAUUCCUAGUAGAGGAAUCAGCAAAAGAGGAGAGGCGAAACGAAGAGGAGAAAAGACGGCACACAGAAAGUCAGGAGAAAACAGACCGUCUCUUGAGUCUUUUCGAAAAAAUGGUUGACAAAAUGUAGGGGUUAUUUUGGUUUUGUUUGUUCAUUUCUUCAUUUUUUGCAGUUCAGUCGUUAUUGUUGUACAUAUAUUUUUUUGUGUUACGUUUGUUAAUUUUAUUUAAAAAAAAAAUUGUUUACAAAGUGUUUCUGAACAUUAAUGCCAUUCAAAACAGAUGACUGGUGACAAACAGAUACACAAAACACUAUGCACUGUGUAUGAAAUGAUUUAUUGCAAUCAGACUUAUACAGAUAACAUCUACACUCA